rnacentral:tRNA from 1 species
AAGGAAGUAUGCCCGAACGCCAUAAGGGAUACUUUGAUAGAGUACACAACAGGGGUUGAAAUCCCCUUACUUCC